UUGUUGGAUUGUUGGUGGAUUAGAGGUGCACUGGAGUGCAUUAACAGCCCCAGUACCGAGUUUAACAAGAUUGUCAACAGAAGCCUCAAAUUAACACUCAGACAAGUGACGUCCAACCGUACAGGAAUAUAUGCUUGUCAAGUGGCUGGAUACGAACCACGCUAUUUCAAAACCUGCGAUUUGCAAACUAGGACAGAUAACAAGAUCACGUGCACUGUACCCUCUGUAAAUCCCCUUGAGGACACAGUUCUGACCUGUCACUUCUCAGAAGACGUCAGUGUCAGCAAGAAGGGUUUCACUGUCUAUCACUAUGCCAAAGAUGUCAGUCCAGGUGAGGAAGCAACCAUUUUGAAAAAAAUACGUUAUUAGUAUACACAGUCUCUUCCUUUCCGUCACUCUUUCUCUCUCUCAAAAUUGAUGAAUUUCACACUAGGCUGGGAUUUAAAAAAAAGAAAAAAACAGACAUCGUCACAAUCUACAAAUCCGCCAGGAGAUAUUAGAAAUCUGAAAUGCAAACAUCCAGUGAAAAAUAGAAGGAGAUGAAGUAAGUAUAUAUUGUUGUCCUUUCAACAGAUGCUGUAUUAGACUGUUUGUGGGUCAGUGAUAGACUCAAGUGCGUUCAGAGCCCGGGUGUUGAGUAUGAGGUUGUCAACAGCGAUCUUAAAUUAACUUUCCGACGGGUGACUUCAAACCAUACAGGAACCUAUUCUUGUUAUUUGGAUGGCUACCACAUUGAAACCUGUGACUUUCAAGUUGAAAAAGCUGUUGGAAAGGUCGAUGAACCUCACAACACUCUAGCGAUCGUACUGGGGUUGUUGGUUUCGAUGUUAUUAGUGGCUGCAGCAAUCGUCUUACUACUAGUUUAUAAAGG